GUUUGGGUUAGCAAACUUGUUGCCGUGGGACACCCUUGUGUGAGGGAAGCUUGUUGCCGUGAGGUUCUUGAGACCCUUUGUGGUUGGGUUGGUUGCCGUGGAUCCUUGAGGUGGAUUGGUAGCCGUGAGCAUCCCUUGGGACACUUGGUGUUGGAGUUCUUGCAAGUUGCCGUGGGCUUCCUUUGCGAACCUCUUGUUGUUUGGUUGUGGCCGU
rnacentral:misc_RNA from 1 species